rnacentral:tRNA from 1 species
GACAGGGUAGCUCAGUUGGUAGAGCAUAGGAUUCAUAACCCUAAGGUCGCGGGUUCAAUCCCCGCCCCUGUCACUA